rnacentral:rRNA from 1 species
AAUCAACGCUGGCGGCGUGCCUAACACAUGCAAGUCGAACGCGAAAGCCCCGCAAGGGGCAAGUAGAGUGGCAAACGGGUGAGUAACGCGUGGGUGACCUGCCCUCGAGCGGGGGAUAACGUCCCGAAAGGGACGCUAAUACCGCAUAACAUCCUGCUUUUUAACAAGCGGAGAUCAAAGCUGGGGAUCGCAAGACCUAGCACUCGAAGAGGGGCCCGCGUCUGAUUAGCAGUUGGUGAGGUAACGGCUCACCAAGGCGACGAUCAGUAUCCGGCCUGAGAGGGCGGACGGACACACUGGGACUGAGACACGGCCCAGACUCCUACGGGAGGCAGCAGUGGGAAUUGUUCGCAAUGGGCGCAAGCCUGACGACGCAACGCCGCGUGGAGGAUGAAGACCUU